GUGGGGAAUCUUCCGCAAUGGACGAAAGUCUGACGGAGCAACGCCGCGUGAGUGAUGAAGGUCUUCGGAUUGUAAAGCUCUGUUAAUCGGGACGAAAGAGCCUAGUGUGAAUAAUGCUAGGAAGUGACGGUACCGGAAUAGAAAGCCACGGCUAACUACGUGCCAGCAGCCGCGGUAAUACGUAGGUGGCAAGCGUUGUCCGGAAGUAUUGGGCGUAAAGCGCGCGCAGGCGGAUCUGCCAGUCUGUCUUAAAAGUUCGGGGCUUAACCCCGUGAUGGGAUGGAAACUACAGAUCUAGAGUAUCGGAGAGGAAAGUUGAAUUCCUAGUGUAGCGGUGAAAUGCGUAGAUAUUAGGAAGAACACCAGUGGCGAAGGCGACUUUCUGGACGAAAACUGACGCUGAGGCGCGAAAGCCAGGGGAGCGAACGGGAUUAGAAACCCGUGUAGUCC
rnacentral:rRNA from 1 species